rnacentral:lncRNA from 1 species
CAGCAGCCACGAAAUCGUCGUUGACUUUAUGCAAAACGCGGUCGUUUCCGACCGAUCGCACCAAGGCGGCGGCUACCCUCUCUUGAACACGGAGGAGCAAGACGCCGCGAGCAAGCUGGCGACGUCGUAUGCUCCCUUCGUCGCCUCAAUUUCGAGGAGAGGGCUGAAGAUGGAGGAGGUGGUGUGCAUGAGCUUCACCGUGGGGUGGUUCGGAGAGGAGCGGCGGAGCCGGAGAAUGGUUAGGGUUAUGUGUUACUAUAUGGAUGGGACGGUUAAUCUCUACAUGAGGCCUAUCGAGGGCGUCACCGUGGCCGUUGAUCUCGAUCGGAUGGCGAUCAUCGGGUUCCACGACCGGGUCGUGGUCCCGGUGCCGAAAGCUCAAGGCACGGAUUACACCGGUCGUGAUCGGCCGUACAUGGAGAGUGAAGGUGGUGUUGAUGAGGAUGCAAGUUUCACUUUGGAUGGAAAUGUUUUGAGGUAAUAAUAAUAUAUGUUACUUCAUUUGUUGCAUUACUAUUUUUCCUACACUCUUUUGGAUGUAUAUAUGCAUGUCAUGAAAUGUACUCCUUCUUAUCCAUCCCACUCUAAUAGAUUCGUUUUUCUUUUUGAAAACGUCUCAUUAGAAUUAUAAGCUCGUUUUCUAUUUUGAGUAAAUAAACAAUAUACUUAAUUGGUGUAAACUACACCACUUUUCUUCUAAAAAGUAAGUUUCUUAAUUAAUUUUCGUAUCUAAAAGAAAUGAACCUAUUAGAAUGAGACGGAGGGAGUACAGUAUAAGUUAAGUGACCCAUAAAUUUUAUAAACAAUAAUUAAGGACCCCAGGUUCAAUCAAAUCGAGCUAUUAAUCUUUAUCUGAAAUAGUAUAAGAUUCGGUCAAUUAUUUUUAUUCUAAUCAUAUGAGGUUGGCUAAAUAAUUAAUAAAGUAGCGAAAAUAAAUUAAUAUGUUAAAGAAUUAGCCGGCAGCAUUCAGCUCAUUUUUUUUAAUGAUUAAUUUCUUUAGAGAUAAUGACCUACUCUAGCCCAUUUCAUGCAGCCAAAGGAUUUUUUUUCAAUGAAGAUACAAGAUUAGGAAUAAUAUUAUCAUUUUUUAGCAUAAAUGUACUAAUACAUUAUUAAUGAUUUUUUAAAAGAAAUAAUUCAAAAUUUCGCAAUCAUUACACAAUUUUACGAAAUUAGCGUGUAAUAGCAUAAAAUACACGAUUAUACAGUUUUCACAUAAUCGUAUAAUAGUCGAGAAAAACCGUAUAGAGCGAUAUUUUACACUGUUACAGAAUAUAUUUUUCAAAAGUGAGUAAAAAAGAGUACAAAGUGUAUAAUGGUAAAAAAAAAUAUGUAAUCGUAUAUUUUACACUAUUACACGACACAACGAUAUUUCGGUCACAAUGUCUACUAUUUCCAUAAUUUUAUUUAUUACACAAUUGUUAUAGAUGGGGAGGUUGGGAGAUGCAUCUAUCAUUCGACAUGAGAGCUGGUGUAGUGAUAUCAAUGGCGUCCAUUUUCGACGCUGAGAAGGAAGAGCAGAGGAGAGUGAUGUACAGAGGAUUUUUGUCGGAACUCUUUGUGCCAUACAUGGACUUAACCGAGGAGUGGUACUUCCAAACUUACUUUGAUGCAGGUGAAUAUGGACUGGGACUCUCUGCAGUGCCGCUUGUACCUUCGAAAGACUGCCCCCAAAACGCGGUGUUCAUGGAUGGCUACUUCACCUCAGGCGACGGCACGCCUGGGCGAACCCCUAACGCCUUCUGCAUAUUCGAGAAAUAUGCAGGAGACGUCAUGUGGCGCCACACCGAGCUUGCUAUACUCGGCAAAACGGCAAGCCAUCACAAACAACAAUAUGCAUAUAUACUUACUAGGUAUAUUUUUAUCUUGUGUUUGUUUAUGGAGUUUGAUGGUUGUGCAGAUAACGGAGGUGAGGCCGGAGUCGAGCCUCGUCGUGAGGACGGUAUCGACCGUGGGGAACUACGACUACAUUGUGGAUUGGGAGUUCAAGCAAACCGGUAUCAUUAGAGUCAGUGUGAGUGUUGAGAUGAUGAAGCAAGUUUCUUUAAGUUAAGCAGUAUGUGUCCAAGAUUGACAGCUAAUCGUUAAAACAUGACCGUAACUUUCAGUGUUUUCAGAAAGAGAACCAUAGGUUACAGAAUUUGAAAAUGAGAACUAUAACUUCCAUUUUUUUAUAUUUUCACUCCUAUUUCGGAAAAUGAGGAAUUUGGCAAAAAGGUGACAUGGCACGACCACAUCAGCACCAAAAAGCCCAAUUUUGGUUUUGGGCCUGAAAUAGGAGUGUGUAAAUGUAAAAACUGGAAGUUAUAGUUCCCAUUUUCAAAUUCUGUAACAUAUGGUUCUCUUUCUGAAAACAGUGAGAGUUACGAUCCUGUUUUAACAAUUAGCUCCCGAGAUUGAUGUUAAUUUGUGUGAGUAGGUGGGGAUGACUGGCUUGCUAGACGUGAAGGGAUCAAUGUACACAUACAAGGAGCAGAUAAAAGAGGAAGUGUAUGGUCCAAUAUUAGCAGAGAACACAAUAGGGGUGAACCAUGAUCAUUUUUUGAUCUUCCAUCUUGAUCUAGAUGUUGAUGGUGAGGCCAACUCCUUGAUCAAGACCAACCUCAAGACCUCCCGCGGGGCGAGGAGGAGCUACUGGAGGGCCGAGAGCGAAGCAGCCAAAACUGAAUCCGAAGCAAGAAUCAGGCUUGGUUCGGGAGCAACAAUGCUGUCCGUGGUGAACCCCAACAAGACGACCAAGAUAGGCAACAAUGUGGGCUACAAACUGAUGCCCGGAUCAGUAGCCGGCACCCUUUUACCUGACGACGACUAUGUCCAAAUUCGAGGAUCUUUUAUUAAGUACAACGCGUGGGUUACGCCCUACAACAAGUCUGAGAAAUGGGCUGCAGGGUUGUAUACUGAUCAAAGCCAUGGUGAUGACGGUUUGGCUGCUUGGAGCCAAAGGUAUAUAUCCGUCCCACUAAAACUGACAUGUAUUUCAUUUUGGAUCGUCCCACUAUAAGUGGUCUGUUUUCAUAAAUGGAAAAAUUUAACCCUUACAAAAGUGUGACGCCUGCCACUUUUAAAAAUUUUACACAUUUUUCUUAAUUUCCGUGCCGAAAAGUUUUGAGCCACUUAUUGUGGGACGAAUGAAGUAUAUGGUUUAGGAGUUUGAUCAAUUUUUUUUCCUCUUUUGAUUUGGUUGAUGCAGGGAUAGGGAGAUUGAGAACAAGGACAUUGUGUUGUGGUACACAUUAGGCUUCCACCACGUGCCGUGCCAGGAAGAUUUUCCGAUCAUGCCGACGCUGACGGAGUCGUUCGAGCUCCGGCCAUCCAACUUUUUCGAGCACAAUCCUACGCUCUACACAAAGUAAGAGAGGGAAAUCAGAAAUCGUGCUAGCUUAAACUUUUCAGUUCAAUAGUAUCUUUGUCCAAAUAUGCCUCUUGAUCAAAUAAAGAUUCUAAAUUCUUGCUUUUAUGUGGCUUCUUUUCAAAUUUAGAAAUUAAUUAUAAAUUCACGAGUCUUCCCCUCAAGAUAAGUAAAAAUUAGAUGUUGAUUUGUAUGUUGGAACAAUAAAACUCAAUUGUCCUGAUCUUCGAUACUUGUAUUAUGGCUCAGUGUAUUGGUAACGAAUGUUUUGACCUUCCUCUCUAUUUAUAGAGGUCUUGAAGCUAUAAGAUCAAGGAUGGAAGGCUGAAAACAUGGGUUACACUUGAGAGACCCCAAAGUAAAACUCAUUUCUUGAGCCCAAAGAAUAAUUGGAGAUCAAGCAUAAACCAUUUUUCUUAUUUUCAUGUAAUUUCUUCAUGUUUUAAUACUCAUUCCAUAACUGCUUUUGUUUGCUUGCAAAACUAACACACAUCAUUCUCUAAAAUAAUAUAGGUAAAUUUAAUAAAGAGGAGAUCUAGAAAACAAAAUGCUCCUCCAUCCACAGAAUAAUUGCAUCACAUCACAAUUAUAAUUAGGUGCAAAAUAUUUAUUAAUAAUAUAUAAAAAAAUUAAUUAAAUUAUGUUUUUGUAACAUCUUUAUUAAUUGAUUGAUAAAUAAAUAUUAAUCUUAAUAGUGAUAUGUCAUUUAAAAUUAUAAUUAAGAAUUAAGAAAAUAUAAAAUAAAGAAUAAUUGCAAAUGAAAGAGAUUUAUGACAAAUUCAAAUGGUGAAGUUUUAAGAUAGCGAUGUAGAAGAUAGAAUAUUUUUUCUAUUAUUACCACUCUUUACUUUCUAGAUCCAACGAUUUUUUUUUCCCAUUUUUAUGAGUUUAGUAGCAUCACAAUAAAUACAUAUGUGUGUGCGCGCGCACACAUAUAUAUAAUAUUUGUCAAUAAUUACUUUUUAUUUAUUUUCAUGAGAUUAGUAAUAUUUAUAAUUAUUAUUAUUAUUGUCACUCACAAAUCGUUUAAUAACAUCACAUCACAAUUAUAGUAAGUGCUAAAUAUUUAUAAAUAAUAUGUAAAAAUAAAUAAUAAUUUAUGCUUUUGUAACAUCUUUAUUUAUAGAUUGAUUAAUAAAUAUUAAUGUUAACAGUGAUAUGUCAUUUAUAAUUAUAAUUAAAAAUGAAGAAAAUAUAAAAUGAAAAAUAAUUGCAAAUGAAGAAAAAUUGUGAAAAUUCAAAUGGUGCAGUUUUAGAUUGCCAUGUAAGAAACAAUAUAUUUUCUUUUUAAUUACCUAUAUAUGAUUUAAAUUUUUUUAUGUAUAUAUAUAUAUUAAUCUCGUCCUGUCAUGAUUGUGUAAUUUCAAAUAAUUAUUUUAAGAUUCAACUCGUUUUCUUUACUAAAACUUUAUUAGAACCAUCAUGUGAAAUCUCGUCCUGUCAUUAUUAAAUUCCUAGGUCAAUCCCGGCCUAAAUCAUGUUUAACUGCAUGGUAUUAUUAGAUAACCUAUCUUUAUCCGUUCACCAUCAUCAUCUAAUUACGUGUGUAUAUAUAUCUUCGACUGUAAUGUUCAGGCAUAAUCUUCCCACGUGCGUCACGUGUCCCAAAUUAAUCAAAAAACAAUAAAUGAAAAACGACGUUUACCUCAAUUGGUGUCUAGUUUCAAUUUUUUGAUAUCCUUCCCUUCAAUAUUAAUUUAAUUUUGUACGCUUUAGCGUGAUUUUAUAAUUUAUUACUCAUUCGUCCCUAAAAAUUCUGAUGCAACGGAGAUGAUACGAUUUUUUUUUAAAAGUAUGAUAAUUAUAUUUUGAGUGGAUAUUGAGUCUCACAUUUUUAUAAAUAAUGAGUGAGGACGGUCAUUUUCGAAUAAGAAAAUACCACAAUUUUUAAGAAUGUACCGAUAUGAUAAUAAGAUCAUAAUUUUCAGGACAUAUGAAGUAUUUUUUAUUGCUUAUUUUCCCUUUUACUAAUGCCGGAAUCAGUAACCGGACCCCUUUUAUCUGACGACGACUAUCUCCAAAUCCGAGCAGCGUUUACUAAGUACUACGUGUGGGUUACUCCCUACAACAAGUCUGAGAAAUGGGCUGGAGGGUUGUUCACUGAUCAAAGCCAUGGAGAUGACACUUUGCUUACUUGGAGCCAAAGGUAAUAUAUAUUACAAUGAAAUGAAAUUCUAUAUGGUUUAUGAGUUUGAUCAUUUUUCACUCAUUUGGUUUGAUUGAUGCAGAAAAAUAAUUAAUUUAACUGAGACGUCCAAAAAUAAUAUUGAUCAUAUUAAUUAAGUCGAAAAAAAUAUUUGGGCCCCCCUGACUAAAAAGUCUGGCUACGUCACUGGAUGCAGGAAUGAGAAGAUUGAGAACAAGGACAUUGUGUUGUGGUACACAUUAGGCAUCCACCACGUGCCAUGCCAGGAAGAUUUUCCGAUCAUGCCGACGCUGACUUUGUCGUUUGAGCUCCAGCCAACGAACUUUUUCGAGCAGAAUCCUAGGCUCCACACAAAGAAAAAUAUGUGAAAGUUCUAUCUACUGCAAAGUAGAGUAUGUUGGACUAAUUGUAUGAAUAAAGAACGAAAAAAUAAAUUUGAAACGAUGAAAUGAUUUUAGAGGUGGUCUUGGGUACACCUGGGUUACACCUUCACUUUUCGAAAUUUCUCUUCCUUAUUCAAUUUCUAAUCAAAAUACUUGUCAUUCCAGAACUUGAUAUCAAACCAAAUUGAAGGCAAAUGCUGCAUAGACAAUUAAAUACCAAAAAAAAAUAGAGCAAAUUAUAAAACAGAAUCAACGCAAAAGCGAAAAUGUUUAAAACACAAAGCGUCAAAAAAGAGUGUUAUUGAAGAACUAACCGAUAAGAAUUUUCAACAGCGAGCAAGACAGAAGCAAUCGAGAAACAGAGUGUUAGAAAUGGAUAUUGGGCCCAUUCCUCCCUUAAAAGGCCUUUUAAGGGAGAGGGUUGCCUCACCAUAUAAAGUGGCUCAUGCCACUAUCUCCAAUCCAAUGUGGGACACUUCAAUACACCCCCGCACGCGCACAGUGGACUAUCCCAAACGCCAUCUGUUGACAACGAUAUUGGGGGCCCAUCAUUGGAUUGGGUUGGCUUUGAUACUAUGUUAGAAAUGAGAUAUUGGGCUCAUUCCUCCGUUGUAUAUAUAUCUUCGACUGUAAUGUGCACACAUAAACUCCCCACAUGAGUCACGUUUCUACCAAAUUAAGCAAAAAACAAAAAAAUUAAAACGACGUUUAAUUUUUCACCAAUUAUUUAUCAUUAAAGAUUCAUUGUGUCACAAUUAGAGAUAAUUUUUCACCAAUUAUUUAUCAUUAAAGAUUCAUUGUGUCACAAUUAGUAUCUCGUAAUUAUUUUCUCAAAAUAAAGUAAGAAAUGAAAUAAAAAAGUUAUACUAUUGUUUGUUUGACUCGAGAAAAAAACAUAAAAAAUGAGCUAACAAAUUAAUUGUAGUAGAGAAUAGAGAUGUAUUUGCAGCGUGCGUGAGUUGGCCUAUCAGUAGGUGAUUAAUGCUCAAUGCUUGAGGUCUUGGAUUCGAGUCCACAUCGGCACGUGGUCUUUAAAUUUCUUUAUUUACUUGUGUAGUUUAUUAAAAAAAUGUAUAAAUUAAUUAAAAUUGAUAAAGCCUACACUUUUUUAAUUUUAUCAUUUAUAAAAACAGAUCAUUUAUAAUUAAUCAACUCAAAAUAAAAUAUACUCCCUCCGUCCCGCCUAAGAUGCUACAUAUUCCUUUUUGGGCCGUUCCAACAAAGAUGCUACAUUUCUAUAUUUGGCAAAAUAAGGAAUUUUAAACACUUAAUUAACACUAAUUAAGUAUUUCUUUAUUACCUUCUCUCUCUCAUACUUUAUCACUUUAUUACCUUCUUUUUCUUACUUUAUCACUUUAUUACAUUCUCUUUCUUACUUUAUCACUUUAUUACUUUCUCUCUCCUACUUUAUCACUUUAUUAUUACACACUUAUCACUUUAUUAUUACACACUUAAAACAUUAAUCUACAACUCCUUAAAUCCCUUGCCGAAAAGUAAAUGUAGCGUCUUGGCCGGGACGAAGGGAGUAUGUCACUUUCAGUGGUAUAGAUGGAUUACUUUUUAUAAGCCAUCACUCACUACUAGAAAAUGAACCAUAACAAAAUAAAAAUAUUUGUACUUGGAAAUCGUACCAAAAAAAUGCUUCCAUCACUAAACAAUCCUAUCUUCUUCUUCUUCAUCAUCUUCUUCUUCAAAGCUCCAACCGCCAUCUCACUCCAAGAUUCUCCUCACCCCUUAGACUCCCUCACUCCGUCGGAGCUCACUCGAGUCGGCACCAUCGUCAACGCCCAUUUCUCGAGCACGAACCGCAGCGUGAGCUUCCACUACGUCGGCCUAGACGAGCCGCACAAGCCGGAGAUCCUCCGUUGGCACUCGGAUCCUGGCCGGCUCCCGCGUCGCAGAGCAUUAGUCAUCGCUCGCAUUGACCGGAGCAGCAGCCACGAAAUCGUCGUUGACUUUCUGCAAAACGCGGUCGUUUCCGACCGACUGCACCAAGGCGGCGGCUACCCUCUCUUGAACAUGGAGGAGCAAGUAGCCGCGAGCAAGCUGGCGACGUCGUAUGCUCCCUUCGUCGCCUCGAUUGCGAGGAGAGGGCUGAAGAUGGAGGAGGUGGUGUGCAUGAGCUUUACCGUGGGGUGGUUCGGAGAGGAGCGGCGGAGCCGGAGAAUGGUUAGGGUUAUGUGUUACUAUA